UCUUCCGUAGUAUAGUGGUUAGUGUGUGAGCUUGUCAUCUUGAAGAAGAUUCUCUUGAGACCCAGGUUCAAUUCUCGGCGGGAGAG